rnacentral:tRNA from 1 species
GCUCGGGUAGUAUAGCUUGGACAGUAUACGGCCCUGCGGAGGCUGUGACCGGGGUUCAAAUCCUCGCCCGGGCG